rnacentral:rRNA from 1 species
GAUGAACGCUGGCGGCAUGCCUAACACAUGCAAGUCGGACGGGACGUGGUGUUUUAAGUGGCGGACGGGGGAGUAACGCGUAAGAACUUGCCCUAGGGAGGGGAACAACAGCUGGAAACGGCUGCUAUUACCCCGUAGGCCGAGGAGCAAAAGGAGGAAUCCGCCCGAGUGGGGGCGUGCGUCUGAUUCGCUUGUUGGUGGUGCAAUAGCAUACCCACGCGAUGAUCAGUAGCUGCUCCGAGAGGAUUAUCCGCCACACUGGGACUGAGACACGGCGCAGAGUCCUACGCGAGAGAGCGGUGGGGAAAAUACCGCAAUGUGCGAAAGCGUGACAGAGCGAUGCGGCGUGGAGGUAGAAGGCCCACGAGUGGUGUACUGCUUUUCCCCGAGAAAAGGUAAUGACGGUAUCGGGAGAAUAAGCAUCGGCUAACUCUGUG